AGGGUUUGAUCCUGGCUCAGAACGAACGUUUGCGGCGUGGGUUAGGCAUGCAAGUCGAACGCGAACGUACCCUUCGGGGUGCUAGUAGAGUGGCGAAAGGGUGAGCAAUCCAUGGAUAACCUACCCGUGUGUGGGGGAUAACCACUGGAAACGGUGGGUAAUACCGCAUGAGACCGGAGCGGCGCAUGCUGCUUUGGUGAAAGGCGCUCCUUUUGGAGUGUCGCACGCGGAGGGGUCCAUGGCCUAUCAGCUUGUUGGUGAGGUAAUGGCUCACCAAGGCUAUGACGGGUAGCCGGACUGAGAGGUUGGCCGGCCACACCGGGACUGAGACACUGCCCGGACACCUACGGGUGGCUGCAGUCGAGAAUCUUCGGCAAUGCGCGAAAGCGUGACCGAGCGACGCCGCGUGCGGGAAGAAGGCCCUCGGGUUGUAAACCGGGUACUGGGGUAUGAAUAAGCGGGGGUAACGCCCCGUGAUGACGUCAACCCCUGAAUAAGCCCCGGCUAAGUUCGUGCCAGCAGCCGCGGUAACACGAACGGGGCAAACGUUGUUCGGAAUUACUGGGCAUAAAGGGCGCGUAGGCGGGUUUUUAAGUCCGCGUUGAAAGCCCUCGGCUCAACCGAGGAAUUGGCGCGGAUACUGGAGACCUCGAGGUCGGUAGGGGGGUGUGGAACUACUGGUGGAGCGGUGAAAUGCGUAGAUAUCAGUAGGAACACCGGUGGCGAAGGCGACACCCUGGGCCGUACCUGACGCUGAGGCGCGAAAGCGUGGGGAGCAAACAGGAUUAGAUACCCUGGUAGUCCACGCUGUAAACGAUGAGCACUAGGAAGGGGAGUACUACCGGCUUCUCUUUCGCAGCUAAUGCACUAAGUGCUCCGCCUGGGGAGUAUACUCGCAAGGGUGAAACUCAAAGGAAUUGACGGGGGCUCACACAAGCGGUGGAGCAUGUGGUUCAAUUCGAAACAACGCGCAGAACCUUACCCAGCCUUGACAUAUGCGAAAGCGCCCGGAAGUAGGCGCCCGAAAGGGUUGCCCAACGGUAACCAAUCCGGAACAGGGUACAGGUGUUGCAUGGCUGUCGUCAGCUCGUGUCGUGAGAUGUCGGUGUUAAGUCCCAUAACGAGCGAAACCCUUGCCGUUAGUUGCCAGCGGGUAAUGCCGGGGACUCUAGCGGGACUGCCUCGGAAGACGGAGGAAGGUGGGGACGACGUCAAGUCAUCAUGGCCCUUAUGGCUGGGGCUACACACGUGCUACAAUGGGUCGGACAAAGGGAAGCGAACCUGCGAAGGGGAGCCAAUCCCACAAACCGGUCCCCAGUUCGGAUCGGAGGCUGCAAUUCGCCUCCGUGAAGUCGGAAUCGCUAGUAAUCCCGGGUCAGCCUUACCGGGGUGAAUAUGUUCCUGAGCCUUGUACACACCGCCCGUCAAGCCACGAAAGCUGGCAGCGCCCGAAGUCGUGAGUCUAACCUGUUCGCAGGAGGGCCACGCCCACGGUGAGGCCGGUGAUUGGGACUAAGUCGAAACAAGGUA
rnacentral:rRNA from 1 species